UCGUACGGCCACACCGGCCUGAGUACGCUGAUCUCGUCCGAUCUCGGAAGCUAAGCAGGGUCGGGCCUGGUUAGUACUUGGAUGGGAGACCGCCUGGGAAUACCAGGUGCUGUAAGCU
rnacentral:rRNA from 1 species